UACGUAGGUGGCGAGCGUUGUCCGGAAUUAUUGGGCGUAAAGGGAGCGCAGGUGGGAAAGUAAGUCUGCUUUAAAAGUGCGGGGCUCAACCCCGUGAGGGAGUGGAAACUAUUUUUCUUGAGUGCAGGAGAGGAAAGCGGAAUUCCUAGUGUAGCGGUGAAAUGCGUAGAUAUUAGGAGGAACACCAGUGGCGAAGGCGGCUUUCUGGACUGUAACUGACACUGAGGCUCGAAAGCCAGGGGAGCGAACGGGAUUAGAUACCCCGGUAGUCCUGGCCGUAAACGAUGGAUACUAGGUGUAGGAGGUAUCGACCCCUUCUGUGCCGGAGUUAACGCAAUAAGUAUCCCGCCUGGGGAGUACGAUCGCAAGAUUGAA
rnacentral:rRNA from 1 species